rnacentral:rRNA from 1 species
UACAGAGGGUGCAAGCGUUAAUCGGAUUUACUGGGCGUAAAGCGUGUGUAGGUGGCUUCCUAAGUCGGUUGUGAAAUCCCUGGGCUCAACCUGGGAAUUGCGUUGGAGACUGCAAGGCUGGAGUCUGGCAGAGGGGGGUAGAAUUCCACGUGUAGCGGUGAAAUGCGUAGAGAUGUGGAGGAACACCGAUGGCGAAGGCAGCCCCCUGGGUCAAGCACAGACGCUCAUGCACGAAAGCGUGGGGAGC